rnacentral:rRNA from 1 species
AUGGGCCAAAGGCCAAAGCCCAGCCCGAGCGAGCCAGCCUACGCGCACAAGCACACGCACUCCCCUCCUUCUAUAGUACAUGUGCGAGGUGAAAGGGAAGCGACUGAUUUUUCCCGUCGAUCCGCCGGCGCCGCCGUUGGUUUCCCUCCCCUCCGCCGGCCGCUUCGGCGGCGGGAGGGUGGGGAAACCUCGGACCCGCGCGUCCGGUGUGUAAAUAGCUUGUUUUGCCUGAUCGUCGUCAGUGCUAUGGGGGUGGCGGCGGCGGCAACAUGUUUCGUCCCACAGCUUUCCCCAUGGCGAUGCUCUCCUCCGGUGUGGCGUCGUCGAGCUCAUGGGUGGUGGUGGUUGGCCGGCCGGGGGUCGGCUGCCUGUCCGACGUGCUCCUGGUGGUGGCGGCUUACGGUGAGGUCGCCGUUGCCGAAGGAUUUUUGGUCGCUCGUUCCUUCUCCGUCCAAUAAAUCUUUGCUUGUUGUUGAUUUGUUGGGGACUGGGCGGCGUGUAUCUCCUGCUGAUCUACGGAUCGAGCGGUGUCUCGGCCUUCCCCUCUGA